rnacentral:rRNA from 1 species
UUUUUCAGCAGGGAAUCUUCCACAAUGGGCGAAAGCCUGAUGGAGCGACGCCGCGUGAGGGAUGAAGGCUUUAGGGUCGUAAACCUCUUUUCUCAGGGAAGAGCAAGGACGGUACCUGAGGAAUAAGUGCGGCUAACUACGUGCCAGCAGCCGCGGUAAUACGUAGGUCACAAAUGUUAUCCGGAAUUAUUGGGCGUAAAGGGUCCGUAGGCGGUUCGGUAAGUCUCCUGUGAAAUCUUCAGGCUCAACUGAAGAGGUCGGGGGAUACUGCUGAACUUGAGACAGACAGAGGCAAAUGGAAUUCCCGGUGUAGUGGUGAAAUGCGUAGAUAUCGGGAGGAACACCAGUGGCGAAAGCGGUUUUCUGGGUCUGUUCUGACGCUGAGGGACGAAAGCUGGGUAGCAAACCGGAUUAGAUACCCGGGUAGUCCACGCCGUAAACGAUGAAUACUAGGUUUUCGGGGUAUCGACCCCCUGUGAUGCCGUAGCUAACGC